UCCUAUAGAUGAAAGUACAAACAGUAGGGUGACACUGCACUGAGAUCAAUACUUGUUCUUCCUACCACCAAGUAGGUGAAGUGGGCUGGUAAAGAACGAGUUAUGAAAGCCUCAAAUGGCCUCAAAUGACAAAUUGAUUGAUAUUUUUCAUUAAGUUGGUGCAGUGAAUGUAACUAAGGCUAUUGAGAGUAAUUGUAGCCCCCCGCUCCUCAUUCCGUCACCCUCACAACUCUAGUUCAUGACUCUCCUCCUGCGGGAAGACCGUCCAUGAGUUGCAUCUGCGCUUGACAUAUCAGCUAUGCAGCCGUCAGCUGUCAUGCUGACUCGGCAUCACAGCACACAGCAUGAGAAAUGGACCCUUCUUCUCUCAUGAUCACAGAAAUGAAUCUGGAAGAUCGGCCUGGAGGUGACCUGACUUGGACAUCAGCAAAGCAGCCUAUAUGUUGUUGUAAAGUAUAUGUGUGUUCCGAAUCUAGUGUUUUCAGUGAAUACUCAUGUGAAGGUUGAACGAUGGAGAAGGAUAAAAACAACCACUUGUUUACGCUGGGCUGGCCAAACUCGUAGUGACCGAGUGGCGAGAGAGUUUAUUGAUUGUCCACAGGAUGGCGCUGGUGUCGCAGACAAGUGAAUGUAGAAGUCAGUCUAUUGGGUGGUGAAU